rnacentral:rRNA from 1 species
CAGCAGCCGCGGGAAUACAGAGGGUGCGAGCGUUAAUCGGAUUUACUGGGCGUAAAGCGUGCGUAGGCGGCUUCUUAAGUCGGAUGUGAAAUCCCUGAGCUUAACUUAGGAAUUGCAUUCGAUACUGGGAAGCUAGAGUAUGGGAGAGGAUGGUAGAAUUCCAGGUGUAGCGGUGAAAUGCGUAGAGAUCUGGAGGAAUACCGAUGGCGAAGGCAGCCAUCUGGCCUAAUACUGACGCUGAGGUACGAAAGCAUGGGGAGAAAACAGGAUUAGAUACCCGGGUAGUCCCUGUCUCUUAUAC